GGGCGAUUAGCUCAGUUGGUCAGAGCGCUUCGUUUACACCGAAGAAGUCGGGGGUUCGAGCCCCUCAUCGCCCA
rnacentral:tRNA from 1 species